rnacentral:rRNA from 1 species
CCAGACUCCUACGGGAGGCAGCAGUGGGGAAUAUUGCACAAUGGGGGGAACCCUGAUGCAGCGACGCCGCGUGGGUGAAGGAGUAUUUCGGUAUGUAAAGCCCUAUCAGCAGGGAAGAACAAUGACGGUACCUGACUAAGAAGCACCGGCUAACUACGUGCCAGCAGCCGCGGUAAUACGUAGGGGGCAAGCGUUAUCCGGAUUUACUGGGUGUAAAGGGAGCGUAGACGGCGAUGCAAGCCAGAUGUGAAAGCCCGGGGCUCAACCCCGGGACUGCAUUGGGAACUACCGGGCUGGAGUGCCGGAGAGGUAGGCGGAAUUCCUAGUGUAGCGGUGAAAUGCGUAGAUAUUAGGAGGAACACCAGUGGCGAAGGCGGCCUGCUGGACGACAACUGACGGUGAGGCGCGAAAGCGUGGGGAGCAAACAGGAUUAGAUACCCGAGUACU